rnacentral:rRNA from 1 species
CCUACGGGAGGCAGCAGUGGGGAAUAUUGGGCAAUGGGCGCAAGCCUGACCCAGCAACGCCGCGUGAAGGAUGAAGGCCUUCGGGUUGUAAACUUCUUUUCUCAGGGACGAAGAAAGUGACGGUACCUGAGGAAUAAGCCACGGCUAACUACGUGCCAGCAGCCGCGGUAAUACGUAGGGUGCAAGCGUUAUCCGGAUUUAUUGGGUGUAAAGGGCGUGUAGGCGGGAUGUCAAGUCAUCGGUGAAAACUCAGGGCUCAACGUGGGGACUGCAUUUGAAACUGUGUUACUUGAGUGCGGGAGAGGCAAUCGGAAUUCCGGGUGUAGGAGUGAAAUGCGUAGAUAUACGGAGGAACACCAGUGGCGAAGGCGGAUAGCUGGACAGUAACUGACGCUGAGGCGCGAAAGCGUGGGGAGCAAACAGGAUUAGAUACCCUUGUAGUC